rnacentral:rRNA from 1 species
AGCGAGAAAAGACUUCGGUCUAAGUAAAGCGGCGCACGGGUGAGUAACACGUGGGUAACGUACCCUCGGGUGGGGGAUAACAGACCGAAAGGUUUGCUAAUACCGCAUCAGACCACAGUCCUCGCGGGGACAGGGGUCAAAGGGGGCUGUCGCAAGGCAGCUCUCGCCUGAGGAUCGGCCCGCGGACCAUUAGCUAGUUGGUAGGGUAACGGCCUACCAAGGCUACGAUGGUUAGCUGGUCUGAGAGGACGAUCAGCCACACUGGGACUGGAACACGGCCCAGACUCC